rnacentral:rRNA from 1 species
UACGUAGGGGGCUAGCGUUGUCCGGAUUUAUUGGGCGUAAAGAGCGUGUAGGCGGCUAGGUAGGUCUGCUGUGAAAACUCGAGGCUUAACCUCGAGAUGUCGGCGGAAACCAUCUGGCUAGAGUCCGGAAGAGGAGAAUGGAAUUCCCGGUGUAGCGGUGAAAUGCGCAGAUAUCGGGAAGAACACCCGUGGCGAAGGCGGCUCUCUGGGACGGUACUGACGCUGAGACGCGAAAGCGUGGGGAGCGAACAGG